AUGCUUAUGGCGCAGAUUGAGGAUAGAGUAAAUGAGCUAAAACAAGGGGAUAAGUCGGUGAUGGAGUAUGUAGCAGAAUUGCAGCAUUUGUGGGCUGACUUAGACCACUAUGAUCCACUGGAGUUACCACAUUCAGAAUGUAUAGUUGCUACUAAGAAGUGGGUAGAGCGUAGGAGAGUGAUGAAAUUCUUGAAGGGACUUAGCUCAGAAUUUGAAGGAAGGCGUGCUGGGUUGUUUCAUCAGCCAAAGCUCCCCUCGCUUGAGGAGGCAGUUGCAGCAAUGGCACAGGAGGAGGUCAGGUUGAAGUUGACCAGGACUGGAGAAGCGAAUGCAUCUCGCUCAGCAUUUACUGUGUCUGAAUGGAAGGAGACAAGAGAGUGCUUCAACUGUGGAGAGAAAGGUCACAUAAGCAUCAAUUGCACAGCACAACGCAGAGAAAUACGUGGUAGGGGAAGAGGUUACAGCCGAGGUGGAUACCGGGGAGUUAGAGGCAGAGGUAACUCGAGGGGUUCGAAUUAUUCCAGUGGCUUCAAAGCAAACUUGGCUAACUUGGCAACGCAAGAAGAAGGGACGUCAACAACCUCUCAAGGGGAGUCGAAGAGUAGAAGCCAGGAGGACAACACCUUCGGGAACUUUGCCCACUUUGUCUACACAGGGGAAGGAGAGGAUGACUGGAAGGAAACUUGGGACAGGAACCAGGCGUAG
rnacentral:rRNA from 1 species